rnacentral:rRNA from 1 species
AACGAACGCUGGCGGCAGGCCUAACACAUGCAAGUCGAACGCCGUAGCAAUACGGAGUGGCAGACGGGUGAGUAACACGUGGGAACGUACCCUUCGGUUCGGAAUAACUCAGGGAAACUUGAGCUAAUACCGGAUACGUCCGAGAGGAGAAAGAUUUAUCGCCGAGGGAUCGGCCCGCGUCUGAUUAGCUUGUUGGUGAGGUAACGGCUCACCAAGGCGACGAUCAGUAGCUGGUCNGAGAGGAUGAUCAGCCACAUUGGGACUGAGACACGGCCCAAACUCCUACGGGAGGCAGCAGUGGGGAAUAUUGGACAAUGGGCGCAAGCCUGAUCCAGCCAUGCCGCGUGAGUGAUGAAGGCCCUAGGGUUGUAAAGCUCUUUUACCCGGGAAGAUAAUGACUGUACCGGGAGAAUAAGCCCCGCUAACUUCGUGCCAGCCGCCGCCGUAAG